rnacentral:lncRNA from 1 species
GAGAGAAACCAUACAAGUGUGAAGUAUGUGGAAAGGCCUUCCGCUUUCCAUCAUUACUAUUAAUACACAAGGGAAUUCAUACUGGAGAGAAACCAUACAAGUGUGAUGUGUGUGGCAAAGCCUUCUAUUACCCAUCAUUACUUUGUCAUCACAAGAUAAUUCAUACAGGAGAAAAACCCUACAAGUGUGAAGUUUGUGGCAAGGCCUUCCAUUAUCCAUCAUUACUUUCUAAACACAAGAUAAUUCAUACAGGAAAGAAACCCUACAAGUGUGAAGUAUGUGGCAAAGCCUUCCAUUAUCCAUCACGACUUUCCAAACAUAAAAAAAUUCAUGGGGCUGGAGAGAUGGCUCAGGAGUUAAGGGAACUGGCUACUCUUUCAGAGGUCCUGAGUUCAAUUCCCAGCAACCACAUGGUGGCUCACAACCAUGUAUGAUGGAAUCUGUUUCCUCUUAUGCUAUGUAGGUUUUCGUGCCAAUAGAGCACUCAUAUAGAUAAAAUAAAAAAUCAUACAAACCAUAUUAGUGUGAAGUAUGUGGCAAUUACUUCCAAUGUCCAGCAUUAUUUUCUAACCUCAAGAGAAGUCAUUCAGAGAAACCCUGCAAGUAUGAAGUAUAUAUCCUGGCCUUCUGUUGUCCAUAAUUACUCUCUGAACACAGAAUUCACACAGCAGAAAAACUUUACAAUUGUUAAGGGCAAGUCAACUCCUUUAGAAUUUGUCAGAUUCUACUCAUUUCAAACCAGACAUAU